UGGGGAAUAUUGGGCAAUGGGCGCAAGCCUGACCCAGCAACGCCGCGUGAGGGAAGAAGGUUUUCGGAUUGUAAACCUCUGUCGCAGAAGACGAAGGAAGUGACGGUAAUCUGUGAGGAAGCCCCGGCUAACUACGUGCCAGCAGCCGCGGUAAUACGUAGGGGGCGAGCGUUGUCCGGAAUGACUGGGCGUAAAGGGCGUGUAGGCGGCCUGUUAAGUUAGGAGUGAAAGUCCAGCUUUCAAGGUUGGAAUUGCUUUUAAUACUGAUGGGCUUGAGUGAUGGAGAGGAAAGCGGAAUUCCUAGUGUAGCGGUGGAAUGCGUAGAUAUUAGGAGGAACA
rnacentral:rRNA from 1 species